AGUGUGCUGGAGGUAUCAGAAGUGCGAAUGCUGACAUGAGUAACGAUAAUGUGGGUGAAAAGCCCACACGCCGGAAGUCCCAGGUUUCCUGCACGACGUUAAUCGGAGCAGGGUGAGUCGGCCCCUAAGGCGAGGCUGAAGAGCGUAGUCGAUGGGAACCAGGUUAAUAUUCCUGGACUUUUUAUAAGUGGUGAAGUGGGGACGAAGAAGGCUAGGUGAGCCAGGCGUUGGUUGUCCUGGUACUUGCAUGUAGGGGGGAAGACUUGGCAAAUCCGGUUUUCCAUAACUCUGAGGUGCGAAGUGGUUCUGACCUUUUGGUACAGAGAAGUCAUUGAUGCCCGGCUUCCAGGAAAAGCUGCUAGCCAUAACUUAUAGAGAACCGUACCGCAAACCGACACAGGUGGACAGGUAGAGAAUACUAAGGCGCUUGAGAGAACUCGGGUGAAGGAACUAGGCAAAAUGGUACCGUAACUUCGGGAGAAGGUACGCCCUUUCUGGUGAUGGGAUUUACUUUCAGAGCUGGAGAGGGCCGCAGAGACCAGGUGGCUGCGACUGUUUAUUAAAAACACAGCACUCUGCAAAUUCGUAAGAAGACGUAUAGGGUGUGACGCCUGCCCGGUGCCGGAAGGUUAAUUGAUGGGGUUAUCUUCGGAGAAGCUCUUGAUCGAAGCCCCGGUAAACGGCGGCCGUAACUAUAACGGUCCUAAGGUAGCGAAAUUCCUUGUCGGGUAAGUUCCGACCUGCACGAAUGGCGUAACGAUGGCCACACUGUCUCCACCCGAGACUCAGUGAAAUUGAAAUCGCUGUGAAGAUGCAGUGUACCCGCGGCUAGACGGAAAGACCCCGUGAACCUUUACUAUAGUUUUGCACUGGACUUUGAUGAUGACUGUGUAGGAUAGGUGGGAGGCUGUGAAGUGAGGACGCUAGUUCUCAUGGAGCCGCCCUUGAAAUACCACCCUGUUGUUAUUGAGGUUCUAACUUGGUCCAGUAAUCCUGGAUGAGGACAGUGUAUGAUGGGUAGUUUGACUGGGGCGGUCUCCUCCCAAAGAGUAACGGAGGAGCACAAAGGUACCCUCGGUACGGUCGGACAUCGUACCAAGAGUGUAAAGGCAAAAGGGUGCUUGACUGCGAGAGUGACGGCUCGAGCAGGAACGAAAGUUGGUCUUAGUGAUCCGGUGGUUCUGAAUGGAAGGGCCAUCGCUCAACGGAUAAAAGGUACUCCGGGGAUAACAGGCUGAUACCGCCCAAGAGUUCAUAUCGACGGCGGUGUUUGGCACCUCGAUGUCGGCUCAUCACAUCCUGGGGCUGAAGCAGGUCCCAAGGGUAUGGCUGUUCGCCAUUUAAAGUGGUACGCGAGCUGGGUUUAGAACGUCGUGAGACAGUUCGGUCCCUAUCUGCCGUGGGCGUAGGAAAAUUGAGAGGAGCUGCUCCUAGUACGAGAGGACCGGAGUGGACGAACCUCUGGUGCACCGGUUGUCACGCCAGUGGCAUGGCCGGGUAGCUAAGUUCGGACGGGAUAACCGCUGAAAGCAUCUAAGCGGGAAGCCUCCCUCAAGAUGAGUUUUCCCAUGAAGCCCGUUGAAGACUACGACGUUGAUAGGCAAGGUGUGGAAGCGCAGUAAUGCGUGAAGCUAACUUGUACUAAUUGGCUGAUUGUCUUGACCA
rnacentral:rRNA from 1 species